CCCUUAGAUGUUCUGGGCCGCACGCGCGCUACACUGACGAAUGCAACGAGCUUAUAACCUUGGCCGAAAGGUCUGGGUAAUCUCCAAAUUUCGUCGUGAUGGGGAUAGAUUAUUGCAAUUAUUGAUCUUCAACGAGGAAUGCCUAGUAAGCGCAAGUCAUCAGCUUGCGUUGAUUACGUCCCUGCCCUUUGUACACACCGCCCGUCGCUCCUACCGAUUGAAUGGUCCGGUGAAGCGCUCGGACCGCGGCCUCUUGACGGUUCGCUGUCGAUUGGCUGUGGGAAGUUCGUUAAACCUUAUCAUUUAGAGGAAGGAGAAGUCGUAACA
rnacentral:rRNA from 1 species